ACAAAACACUAAAUAUGUAUUAACAACUCAGGAGUAUAAAAAUGACCAAAAUCGAUUGUUAUAUGACAGUACUCAAAAUGGUUAUGUUCAGCUAUCUGAGCGAGAGAAAGAGAGAGAGAGAGAGAAGGAGAGAGAGAAGGAGAGAGAGAAAGAGAGAGAGAGAGAUAAGGAGAGAGAGAAAGAGAGAGAGAGAGAGAAAGAGAGGGAGAGAGAGAAAGAGCGUCUCAGUUUAAAACACAUCACUCAAAAACCAAUUGCUCCAGAACGGUUUAUUCAGCAAUACAAUGAAGAGCAACACAGUACGGUUAAAUCGGAACUGCUAAAAACAUAUGAUAAAACAAAUCUGAACCUAUUAUACAGUACCAUUUCUCCAAACAAAAUGUUAAACUCGGAAAUAGAAAAAAAUAUAUAUAUAUAUAAUGAAAAUAGUGAAGAUAAUAAAGUGAAUGAAGUGAAUGAAUUACCAAAAGUAUGUUCAAACUUUUUAAACACAAAGUUAAAACUAAAAUCUGAAAAUAAUAAAGUUAGCGAUAUGUCAAUUGAAACUCUUUGUGAAAGCCUACUUAGCACAAUAGUAAAAAAUGUAAACAAUUCAGACGGUAAUAAAAUAAAUAAUACAUUAGCAAAAAAUAUUUCAGAUGCGUUGAAUGGUUUUGUUUGUGUGGAAGAGUCUGUGGAGGGAUCUACGGAACAAUCUGAAAAGCAACUUAUCAACUCCACAAACGACCAAUCCAACAUAGAAGAAACAAUACCGAUUGCGAAAAACUUCAACAACAAUAAAAAUGGUGAAAAAAGUUGUAACAUAUUGAACAUGACGAAAGAAACUGAAGAUAUAAAUACAGAAACAAAAUACGUGAAAGCGGUUCACAANNNNNNNNNNAAAAGCGAAUUAAGUGAAAAACAAAACACUAAAUAUGUAUUAACAACUCAGGAGUAUAAAAAUGACCAAAAUCGAUUGUUAUAUGACAGUACUCAAAAUGGUUAUGUUCAGCUAUCUGAGCGAGAGAAAGAGAGAGAGAGAGAGAAGGAGAGAGAGAAGGAGAGAGAGAAAGAGAGAGAGAGAGAUAAGGAGAGAGAGAAAGAGAGAGAGAGAGAGAAAGAGAGGGAGAGAGAGAAAGAGCGUCUCAGUUUAAAACACAUCACUCAAAAACCAAUUGCUCCAGAACGGUUUAUUCAGCAAUACAAUGAAGAGCAACACAGUACGGUUAAAUCGGAACUGCUAAAAACAUAUGAUAAAACAAAUCUGAACCUAUUAUACAGUACCAUUUCUCCAAACAAAAUGUUAAACUCGGAAAUAGAAAAAAAUAUAUAUAUAUAUAAUGAAAAUAGUGAAGAUAAUAAAGUGAAUGAAGUGAAUGAAUUACCAAAAGUAUGUUCAAACUUUUUAAACACAAAGUUAAAACUAAAAUCUGAAAAUAAUAAAGUUAGCGAUAUGUCAAUUGAAACUCUUUGUGAAAGCCUACUUAGCACAAUAGUAAAAAAUGUAAACAAUUCAGACGGUAAUAAAAUAAAUAAUACAUUAGCAAAAAAUAUUUCAGAUGCGUUGAAUGGUUUUGUUUGUGUGGAAGAGUCUGUGGAGGGAUCUACGGAACAAUCUGAAAAGCAACUUAUCAACUCCACAAACGACCAAUCCAACAUAGAAGAAACAAUACCGAUUGCGAAAAACUUCAACAACAAUAAAAAUGGUGAAAAAAGUUGUAACAUAUUGAACAUGACGAAAGA
rnacentral:lncRNA from 1 species